CUGGCGGCUGUAGCGCGGUGGUCCCACCUGACCCCAUGCCGAACUCAGAAGUGAAACGCCGUAGCGCCGAUGGUAGUGUGGGGUCUCCCCAUGUGAGAGUAGGGAACUGCCAGGC
rnacentral:rRNA from 4 species